rnacentral:rRNA from 1 species
GACGAACGCUGGCGGCGUGCUUAACACAUGCAAGUCGAACGGUAAGGCCCUUCGGGGUACACGAGUGGCGAACGGGUGAGUAACACGUGGUGAUCUGCCCUGCACUUCGGGAUAAGCCUGGGAAACUGGGUCUAAUACCGGAUAGGACCCUGGGAUGCAUGUCCUGGGGGGGAAAGCUUUUGCGGUGUGGGAUGGGCCCGCGGCCUAUCAGCUUGUGGGUGGGGUGAUGGCCUAGCAAGGCGACGACGGGUAGCCGGCCUGCGAGGGGGACCGGCCACACUGGGUCUGAGAUACGGCCCAGACUCCUACGGGAGGCAGCAGUGGGGAAUAUUGCACAAUGGGCGCAAGCCUGGUGCAGCGACGCCGCGUGAGGGAUGACGGCCUUCGGGUUGUAAACCUCUUUCAGCACCGACGAAGCGCAAGUGACGGUAGGUGCAGAAGAAGGACCGGCCAACUACGUGCCAGCAGCCGCGGUAA